UAUUGGCGCACGCGCGGCGCGCGGUGACGUCACCGCAUCUUUAUAAAGAGCCGCCAAAAGUUUCCUAACGUGUAAGCACGAAAGUUUCCUGAAGUGUGGCUGCGGCAACCAGAAGGCCCAGUUCUGGUGGUGAUUUCACUUUUGACAGAAGCUGUCCUUCAAAAGCAAACGUGCGAUAGAAGAAACAGAUCUCAUGAUGUCAUUGCUGUUAUGAAUUUUUUUUCUGGAUUCCUCAUUGCACAAAAGACCCAAGCAUACAAGGAGUACAAAUCUACUUCACUGCAGACAUGUAGACAUUAGUGCAAAGAAGAUAUAACCUCCAAACUCAAGGCAUUUAAACACUUUUUUGGCUUUAUGCCAAAAAAAACUUAUUCAAAGCACUACCUUGAAUUGCUUUUCCAGUCGUGUCUUUCCUCCUACUCCUGGUAUAAGGAUGCUGUUAACAUAGCUGUGCAGCUGACUUGAAGAUACUUCAGUCUCCUUUCCAAGAAUGGCUUCCAACAAGGCAUCAUGGAUGAAAAUGUACUGCUCCUAAGAGAUGGAGUCUUCCUCUGUCGCCAAGCUAGAGUGCAGUGGCGUGACCUCAGCUCGCUGCAACCUCCACCACCUGGCUUCAAGCGACCCUACUGCCUCAGCCUCCCGAGUAGCUGGGACUACAGGCAUGUGCCACCAAGCCCAGCCAAUUUUUGUAUUUUUAGUAGAGAUAGGGUUUCACCAUGCUGGCCAGACUGGUCUCGAACUCCUGACCUUGAGAUCUGCCUGCCUCAGCCCCAAAAGUGCUGUGAUUACAGGUGUGAGCUGCUGUACCUGGCUGCCCUUUCUUUUUACUUCCCAUCCCCUUCCCCACCCCUGGGUAUUGUCUGUCCCCUUUAAGAACCUCAGGACAGGUAACAUUAUUUUCACUGACCCUGACAGACCUAGUAGUGACCCGAAUUGAUUAUCUUCUACUUCCCCCUAUUGUACAUUUGCAGCACAUAUCUUUCUGACACUUAAGUUCUCUGAUUUAGGUAUGUCUUAAUUUUGGAGGGCCCUCAACAGUCAGUCAGUCUCUCAGUCUCUCUCUUAUCAAUAAAGUGUCAGUCUGGUGGUUAUUAACAAGCGCUGCAUAGCUCUUUGGCUUAGGGAGCUUUUAGAAUACCCAGGCAGGGUAAGCCCCAUUCCUGGUGAUUCUAACAGAGCAGGUGCAGGGUGGGGCACAGCUCUGUGUAUUGUGAAGAAUCCCUCUGAGGAUUCUGGUAUGUACUGUGUCCAAUUAUGAACCACCGUGAGAAAGGGAAAAUGGUUCCUGAGAGUCCACCCUUGUGGACUGCUAUACUUGUAUGGUAGGAAAAUUAAUUUCGGUUUCUACGAAGGUAUUGAAGUAUUCAAUAUUAUUAAUAAAAAUGAUGUUCUGACAUCCUGAAUUCCAAAUUUCCUGCCACUUGAACAAACUGGAAAAUCACUGUCUUAGAUGGCUUUCUAAAGCCCACGCAUCCACAAGGUACCCAAGAUAGAAGGACUUAAGUGAAAUAUUCACUGAAUGCUCCCAGAAGAGUCCAAGAAAGCUCAGUUUGCAUGAGGUAUUUCCUCAAUUCAAACUCAGUGGGUGAGUAAGACAGAAUGAAAGUGAAACAGGACAGGUGAAUCUGUUGGUCCCUAACUUGGUCCCAUUUCUCAUAUGCCUCUCACAGAGUAAGCAUUUUGCCACACCAAAGGAGAGUCCCUGUUCAAAGAAUGCAUUUUUCUUACAGCAUAGCCCGAAAUGCUACCCAAGUUCUUCCAGUGCUUGACCAAAGAUGACUAACAUAUUAGAUCUAUGUACAUUUCUACAGAAAGUUCUGAGUAGCAGAGUGGAAGCCAGCUUCCUAUCAUUACUCUCCAAUCAUUCAUCCCUUUUUAGAAAACCAAACAUGGGCCCAUAUAUCUUUAAAAGAUUUCUAAGAAAGGUCUGAUUGGAAGUCUAGAAGGUAAUGUGUGAUAUCCUCCCAGUAGCUGAUCAAAUCUGUAUGAAUUCUGGUUAGCAGCUUUCUGGGUCUUAAGCCCACAGCCCAUACUUGUGGUCCAGAUCUGUGGAGUGUCUGAAGGCCUGACGGGAGGAGUGUGCAAGUAUGCAUGGCUUCUUAAAAGCCCACAUGGGACACAUAAAGCUUAUGAUUAGGAAUAUUUUCCCUUGGAUUGAAAUUUCUAAAAAUAACCUGCCGUUCACUCAAAUAAGGGAGAUAUUUUAAGGAUAAGGACCUUUUUAAAAAUAAAAUCUACUCUUGGGAAAGCAAAGCACACACACGUGCAGAGUACAUCUUUCAGUUAGGAUGUGGAACACAUCGGCCAGUAUCAGCUGUCAACGUCAAGUCCGUGAGCUCCCCGCUGAAAAAUACACGCUGCCAGCACAUGACAGGCUCCAGUAUGUUUAAUUGGCCUUCUUGACUAAUGAAACACACACACACCCAGCUGCUCUGACAGUCCUUUAUAAGUAUUAAUAAAAUUCCAGUUAUAGAGACUUACUAUCCAAACAAAAAUGUAGCAAAAUAACCAAAACAAACGAAAAACCCUCUAGACUUCUGACCCCCCAUUUCAACCAGGAAUUUGAAACGUUCUUAAGGAAGAACACCCAGUAUGAUCAAAUUUCUGCAUAAAGGCCUUUUUUUCUGUGGCUUCUGUUUUUCCGGGUACCUUUUUCAAUAACCUCUGAUACAAGCUAACAAUUUUCUUAUAUCUCUUUCUGCCCCUCUGACAAGAACCUGGAAAUAAUUUAGUGACCAAUAUUUUUCAGAAGCCAAGUGCUGAACUUGAGUGCAGAAAGACUGAACAUUAGAAAUGUCUGGCAUUCCACACAAUGCUGCUGUAUUUAAAACACACACACACACACACACACCCCUUAAAAGGCAGAUAUCCAAACCUGCUUACAGGAAAAAGGGAUUUCUGGGGUCUACACCCACUUUACAGGCUUGGGAUCUCACACCAUUCUCAGCCAGGGUCCUUGGCUUACAACAACACUGCCCUCAACAACAUGAUGACUGCUAGGUGUGGGCAGGGUGGAGGACCACAACAUGGCCUCCAGACUCGUAUGGCAACCCGGACUCAUGAACUAACCUAAAGUUGAUAUAGAGGAAUUAGAAACCAAGUCACCGUCUUCAAAUUAAACUCAGUGGUUCUAUAACCACAUCAGGGUGACAAAGAGUUUAUUAGCAGUGUGUAGCUCAAAAUUCUAAUUGCAGACCAGAGCUGGGCAGUUAGCUGAGCUGCUGCUGAAUAUUAAUUAUGUAAUCUUAACUGAUUUACACACUGCCCUCAUUUAAAUUUUCAGUGGCAUACCCGCUAAUAAUCCCAUUUAUUUUCAUGCUGUCAAGAACACAAAUCACAUUAAUAUUUACUAUUGUAAAAGGAUCUGUUGUAGUAAACGCUGCCUGAAUAACCCCCACUUACAAAUAGAAAGCUGAAAAUGUUCACACGCCUUCAAGGGAAAUGAUUGAGAGCUAUCUUUAAAAGGCAUGGAUUAAAAACAAAACCAAACAACAAAAAAAACUAAAAAAUAAAAGGCAUGGAUUGAUUUAUUAGGGCAAAAUGUUUCAAGAAAUUGAAGUGACAAAUACAACAAUAAAAGAAAAAGGCUGUAGGCGUUGUUGGGCUUUUCCUCAAAGAGGAGUGUCUGAAAUAACUCUGGGAUUCCACUUGGAAAGGAGCCCAAUGUAAGUUCUAAGUUGAGAUUUUUCAUAUACAACAACUCACUUGCUGUUAAGUUUCCUUUACGGCAUGUUAAGUGAUUCAGUUUAUAAAACUCAGUUUACACUUGUAGUAGCUUUUCCGCAAGGGAUCUUCUAAAAAGAAAAACUCAAACCAAAAUAUGUCUCUGGUGACCAUAUUUUCCAAAUCAUAAAAGGGGGCGUGAAAUUUGACAAAUGUCAAUGUGCUUUUGGGGAUAAUCAAAUGGCAAGUUUCACAUGAGGGCUAUGGAAGUCCCAGGCCAUAUGGUUGUCAUACCUUAGAUAAGCAGGGCUUAUCACAUAUGAGGAGAGAGAAGGGGAAUAAGGGAAGAGAAAGGAGAACAAAACCUUCCAAGAGAUGGAUGGGGUGUGAAAGAGGAAACAUACUAAAAUGAGGAGAGUGUUUCAAAAAUAUUUUGGAUUUCACAUGAAUAGGAGAGAUGGCCUAGUCAACUUUUGGUACAGUUAGAAGUGACAAAAAUCUGAUUCCCAUAGUGAGAAUUUUAUUGGAUAAUUCAAAUUGCCUGCAAUUAACAUCUUUAGGAAGGUGGGAGAAAAAUGACCAAAUUAUAGGUACAAAAGUGGUCUCAAAACUAUAUUCUCUCACUAGGCAUUAGGUCUGCCAAGAAAUCCUUGCAGAUACCUAGGCCUGACUAAAGUACUGGUAAUACUUUCCAGGAGAUAAGAGAGAAAAGGUCUCUUCAUAAACCACAUUUUGACAAGACUGUGACAGUUCUUUUAUUAUAGCUGGCUUUCAGAAAGUGAGUCCCAGGCAAUACUUCUCAAGGCUUCCAGCUAUUACCUAGAAAAGAAGGCUUGAAGUCGGGGGCUUUAAGGCGGCUAUAUUACCCUUCAGACCCUAGACUGGAAUGUUCUAAACAUCUGGACUGAGGCUUGAGGGACUCUCCACCUCAUUUGCCACAGUUUUAAGGCACUGACACAACCCCCCACCGAUAUGGGAACGUUAAUGGUGAUGUGAAUAGUCCAAUUCAUUUUGGGAAGGAGGUAAGAAAUGAAAUUCACAUUUUAUUUACUGCACAUAUUUUUCAGUAUUUAUAAUCUAAAAUGUCUGGGUAAAAGCCUUUUGGCAACUCCAUAUUUUGUUAAUAUACCGAUUGACUGUAUUUUGCUGUGAGUGAUAUUUUAAGGAUCUAAGAAGGUAUUAUAUGCAUCUUCCCUAAGCCCCAGAUUGCAGAAUUUUAAAAAAAAUACUUGAGACCAUCUGGGGAAAAAAAAGUUGAUUCAGACAUCACACUAUUAACCAGGUUAAAUUCCAACGGAAUUUACUAUUAAAAUUUGAAACCAUAAAAGUAAUUUUAAAAAGAAUAAUCUCAAAAUGGUGAGACUUUUAAAAGAAAACUCAAAAUCUAGAAAAUGAAACAGAAAAUACAGAUUAAAUCUGAUUAUAUACACAUCAAAGAAGAACAAUAAAUACAGUUCAGAGGUAAACUACAAAUUGGGAAAAAAUAUUUGCAACUCAUAUUGCUACCAAGGGAUCUCUCUCUCAUUGGAAAAACAGCAGUAACUCAAAGACAAAAUAAGCAAGAGAUAUAAACAGUUUACAGAAAAACAAAUGGUUCAAUCCCACUUAUAAUAAGAGACAACACACUAAAACCACACCGAGACACCCCUUCUUUUUCACCUAUGAUGUUAGUGAAAAGGCCAAAGUUUGACAACACAGUGUGCUGGGCUGGCUGUAGGGAAAUAGGCAUGCUCAUAUACUUCCAAGAGAAACCCACCUUUGUACCCCAUCAUGGAGGGCAGUCUGGCACCAUACAUACACCAUACCAUGUACCCUGUGAUAUAGCAAAUACAUUUUCCUCUGAAAACUUUCCUACAGAUGUGCUUAUCCCACUUGCAAAAUGACACAUAAACUUAUUCAGCACACAACUGUUUGUAAUAAAAGAUGGAGAACAAUCAAAAUGACAGCCACAGGGCACUGGUUAACUAACUAAAUCAUGAAACCUCUAUACAAAGGAAUAUCAUGCUUCUGGGUAAACGAAUGAGGAAAUUAUACAGGCAUAGGGAAAACUUGUGUUAUGUGAGAAUAGCAAGGCACAUGAUUGCGUAUGCAGUAUUUCAUUGUGUACACGGGGAUAAAAGGAUAUUCAUUAUUUGCUUAUAUAUUAUAUAUACAUAACAAUCUGGAAGAAUAGACAACAGACUAGCAAUAAGGGCUACCUAUUUGUGAGGAGGAAGAGAGCAGGGUGGGUGAGUGAUGGGAUGGUAAUUUAGGGGUGCAUAUAAUUUAAACUUUUUGAUUUUGAAUCAUGUCAAGUAUUACCUACUCAAAACUUAAAUCAGCUUUAUUGAAAAAUUAAAUACUUGGGUCUGAUUUUCAGUGUUUUUUUCCUCUCCUUUCUGGGAGGAUAAUCACCUCUCACAGCCAUUGUCCUGCUUUUAGCAAUUCUCUGUGCAGUGCACCUUACUUAGCGCCUGCCUCCCUGUCCUCCCUGCUGUGGGAGAGGGAAACAAUAGGGGCAGAAGAGUAAUGCCACGUGAAGUUAUGUGUAGGGACUCUCUAACAGCUCUUGCAGCUGCUUGGAGGGUUGCAAUUUAGGCAUCACUAAGGGCUCUUCUCCCGAUUCCUGGCCACAUUUUGGGUGGAGAUACAGCCAGGAGAGAAAAAGAGCGCAGACUGAAAAAGGCGAAAGUCAGAGAAAGAGAGCCUGCUGAAGUGCUUGCAUUCCAGCCUCCUGCAGAUGCCUGCAGAGGUAGGGGCACCCUGUCUUUCAAAGCCUUUUCAUAGAGCAGCAGCAGAAUGGAACACGGGUCAGGAAAGGAGGCGGCAAAAGUGCCUGGGGAAGGAGAGGGGACAGCGGGCUAGUGGAGAAUGAGGAAUUUUACAGUGUGGCAGGGUGGCCAGCAUAAGGAAGAGCACAGACAUGGAGCCCCUUGAGGACAGGAUCUAUAUCUGGCCCAUACCAUUUUCAUGGAGUAGUUAGCAGAGCACAUGGAGCCCUGAGAAGGGGUACUGCUCAGGACGCACGCCAUUGCAGUGGAGUCCCAACGCAGCCACUUAGGCAGAGUGGCCUAGCCAAGUGACAACUUCUCAGAGCCUGAAUUUCCACAUCUUCUCAAUGGGUUAAUAUAUUUCACACACUAAGCAUUUUAUAUAUAUUACCCCCAUUUAAUCUUCACAACCACCUCAUGAAAAGGAGCUAUCAUUAGACUCAUUUUCUAGAUAAGAAAACAGAGGCCCUAUGGGCCCUUCCUAGUCGUAGGGCCAGGAAGUGGCAGAGCUGUGGUUAGAACCCAUAUCUCCCUAAGCCAAAGUCUGUCUUUUAAGCUACUACACUAUUUUAUAAAGUAAAUGAUAUAAUUUAUAAUCAGAGGGAUUCUGUAAAUACUUAUAGUUCCCUAAGAUGGUUCCCAACUCCUAAACCUAGAUGAAACUGAUUGUGCUUCCCUUACUGAGCAGCAGAGAAGAUACCAGAGGGACUGGGGCAUCUCUCUUACGAUCCAGAAUAUGUCUACAAUGGAACCACCGACAUGUGGGGGUCCAGAAAGAUACAUUAAAAAAAAACAGUCUGGCAGGCUACAGCAUCACUUCUUGGGGGGACUUGAAAUGGGAUGUGCAUUUAUCUUUGUGAUAUUCAUAAGGUGCUGCUGGCUAUUUGAACGUGUUAUAAUAAAAAACACAUUUAUUUUUAACGGACUAGGUAUGACACUUAGGCAUUUAAGUGAUGUCCAAAGUCUUCCCCUCAUAAGAUUAGUUUUUGAAUCCAAAACUAUACAGAGAAGUUCCUAUUUCAGUUUCUAAGAUUUCUGAAAACAUUAGAAAGUGAAGACAUUAAUAAGGAAAAAGAGAUCACAGAAUAAUUUAGUUACCAGUGUUAGCAGUUCCUGCUUUCCCUACACGGCCAAAAUUGCACUGUACAGUAUAAAAGAAAAUAGAUCAUGUACCUUCUCAUUAAUGUCAUAAUCCUAAACUAUACCUUCUCAGAUUUCAUAGGUUUAUCUGAUCAUAAUAAUUGGAUAUCGAAAUGCUGUCUUAGUACUCUGAUUUACCCACAACCAAUGGAGAUGAAUCAUUCCAUAUAAAAAUUCUAACAUAAAUCCUAUAAAUUGGUUCAUUGAAAGUAAAAAGGGACUGCUCGUGACAUAAUAUGGAUUAGGGAAUGAGUCUAAUUAGCAUUUUAAUAUUAAAAGAUAUUAAUAUUAAAUAGAGUUUGCCUAAGACAGGCCUUACAGAAAUAUUAUCAAGAGAUUCAAGAGUGGUGAUUAAGACUGUACAGUCAUGAGUUUCAAACAUUUAUUAUAAAUGUUUCUAGGACAUUUAUAGUUUUCAAACUAUCCGGAACUCAUAUGUGUGUCCUUUUUCAAAAACCAUUUCACCAUUCUUAGGGAAAGACACAUAGUACAUCCAUGUUUGCUCACUUCUCUCCCCGCUUCCUAGUCUUCAUCCCUAACUUAUCUACAAAUUUAGGUUUCUAAGAGGUAUUUUUCACAUAAGGCCAAACGCAUGCAUUAUAUGUUUAUUUUUAAAGCUCAAAAACAUGCAAAUAUCUGAAAGUUUGGAAAGAAAGUGGAUGCAAUACACAUAUAGACACACAUAGAGCACCCCCAGUACAUACAAACCCAGAAACAACACCCCCAAAACUGCAAAAUAAAGCAAAGCAAGCACACACAGGACAUAUUUUAGCUGGUACCAGCUACACACAAGCUGAAUUGAUAUUUGCAAGUCUUACUUUUGGGAAUUCACGUAAAACAGGUGAGCUUCAGCACUGUGCCAUCUACAAGACUUUCAUCCCCAUGGCAACAAAACAAAAAUUUGGCAAGCCAGUCCCAACCAUCAAGACGCCCCCCACUUAAGCUUGACCGCCCCUCACCUGCUCCCCUUCUCUCCUCUCUCCCCAGAAGAAGGCACUUCACGGAAACGUCUGGGAAAGCCCUUGGACUUUAUUUUGUUACACCCUCUAAAUGGACAAAAAACAAAAGAGAACAGGUAUAGAAUACAGUAUUUUCAAUUGGCCACCAAGAGUUCCAUACAAAUGCCCUCCCCUCCCCUCUGACACAGACAGACCCCGUCAUCAGGCCUCAUUAAUGACAUUUUCAAAAGAGGUUGCUUAUGCACAAAGGUGUCUGGACUUUUUGAAGAGCUUUUAUGCUGAGGUAAGAAAUACCCAGUAGGAACUUUACUCUUGUAAGUCAUCUUUACAUAUUCGCAGCCUCUGUUACCCUGGUGUUAAUGAGGUUGGGAUAUCACAAACACAGUGAUGACCCUUGUCAUUCAUAUACCCACUCUUCCACCUUUUACACACUGCCCUGGCAAAUAGAAUGGUUUAAAAUAUCACUGGAAUAAACAGAACUUGGGGAUCAUUUGGUCUUCCCUUCUGCCACAAAUGUCUCUGAAUCUGGUGCCAUUAGACAAAUCUGGGGUUUUGUCUUUUACCCCAUGCUUUCCUCUCAUCUCGGAACAAACAUUUUCCUAAUUCACAAUACAGAUUGGAGAAUAAAUAGGAGAGGCACCUAAGGGAGAUGGGAACAGCAGUUGGCAAGUUAUUACUAUAUAUUAAGUCCUAUAUUUAGUUUCCCCUUAAAACUUAAAUAACUGUAGCAUCUGAGACUUGGCUACAGAAUUUGAAAGAUGCACUUCUGUCACACAAGAACACUUGAAGUAUUUAUUUAAUUAUAUUUAGUCUCCUAAACCAGCUGGGCUAUAGGAUUUCACACUGAAAUGAUUCCUAUUCUUUCCAAGCUCUGUUGAUAAAAUAGCAAUGACAAACUCAGCUAUAUGGAAGUUCUCUUUUUUGGAAGCUCUAUUGAAUCCCACACCAAAUUCUGAAGCCAGGUAUGUAAUUCCAAAGGAGUAAACAUUUGGUUAACUAUUGAGUCCACUGGAGGUUUUUUACUUCUAGGAAUGAACAUUCUCUAAUUCUUGAGUGUCAGGUUUUCUUCCCCCUUAAUUCAAGCGUUCAAGUAUUGUGUUAAUUAUUAGACUCCAUGUUGGGUAAAAGUGCUUGGCACAGGAACCUAAACUUUGGGAAGUCAAACUUGGAAGGCGAUUAAAAAGAGGGGGAGGGAUUGCUGUAACACAGAACUUCUUGUCUCCCUCUAUUGAGUGCAUUCUGGAACUACAACAACUGCCCUACAAACAUCAUGGAUAUACUCAGUGUGGCUACGAACAUUAAUCUGAAGAAAUCGUGAGUGUGUUGGAAUGUUUUUACAAAUUCUCAUAAAAACUUGAAAUUUGCAGCUUCCUAAAAUAUUUAGACUUUUUCUCAACCCUUAGCCCUACUCUGAAUUCUGCCAGAUUCACUCUUUCAGGAAUUUUGGAGCGGAGCCGGCUAUCUCCGCAGCUUUUCCUCACACACAAUCACAGGCGCUUAAAACUACCACCCGUAAACUGACAACACUUUUGCUGAGAAGCAAAUGCCACACAAUCAAUACCUAAUAUCUCGAAUAACUGAGAUAUUCGAGGCUACCUGAGCAAACCAGCAGAACAGACAUAAUAAACCCUGGGGGGAGAAGACAGUUAAUUCUGAGAAAUCCAAAGAAAGAUGGUUGUUACCUAGAAUAGACUGAACAUACAAGGAGUUUCCCUUUCCUGAAAAAUGAGCUCGGUUUAAAAACUUACCCACCCACCGCUUCCCUAACAGAAUCAGUCCAGCUUUUUAAGUAUCAUGGAGCAUGUUUAACUGGCAACCUUUAGCAGUGAAUCUCUUUCCGCUUUUGUCUAAUGACUAUGUGUUAGCUUGUUCCAAGAGCUUCCACUGGCAUCUCAGGGCCAACUCGACAGCAGGGGGGCGGUUACUAUAACAACUGACAGCUCUCGUGAAUUCUGAAAGGCCCCUGAGUAGCCAUUUGGGAAACAGUUAUUGAGCAAAAAGUUGCCUGGGACCGGCGGCUUUAGCUGCCAUGUGAACCAGACCUCCAACCACAGUCACACGGAGAAAGACAAAAAAGAGGUGACCACCUCCAGGAACAGCUGGGGACCUCAAAAGACUCCCUGCCCACAUGGCUUUUAGCAUCUCAGAGCAAGAUAGCUUAACACCACGGUGUCAUCAUAAACUCAAACCCUCUGAGGCAAACCGUAUUCUGGCAUCAUAAAAUGUGCCUGAGCUCUCCCCGAUGGCUUGACACAUUGUCAAGCUUUGAAAAGCUGAAUUGUAAAAGUCAUUCCUAAUGAUUAAAAAAAAGUCUUGAAAUAUGGCCACAGAUAUGGGUUCCAAAAAGAAAAGAAUGGCAGACUCACCAAUUUUAAAAGAAAAAAAUGAUGCCAGAAUACCUGUGGUCCAGUAAAUGGUCUGUUGGUAGAAAAGAUAAAGGUGAUCACACAAACCCACGAAAAAUAAUGACUUAGAAGCUCAGUUUUCCAGAUUAGAGAAAGUUUUAUAUACACCUUCCUUUUAGAUUCUCACUCUCUCCCUCAGCACUAAAAGGACACUCAGCAACUAGGACUGACCCAGUGCCUUUGCACAUGUAGAAUCUUCCAGAAAAGAAUCUGACUGUACUCCUAACUGGACUUUUCUUUGUACGAAGGAAGGGCAGUUUGGCAGAGUUUGCCCUAAGAAACAAUGAAUGCGCCAUGAUCCAGCGUUUCUGAGUCAUCUCCUACACAGCGACCUCUGCUUGGAACACUUCUCCUUUUUCUUUGUUUUGUAAAAAAUACAGCCCAAACAUUCUCUCCUCCAAGAAAUUCUUGGCUCCCUUUCCUUCUCACCUAACCCUGGCUGUGGUCAGAGUCCCUCCCAGAACACAGUUUUCCUUGAUGACUGUUGCAACCCAGGGGAAUGCAAAUUCAACCACCCACAGGGGCCAAACAGGCAAAGAACAGCGGGAAGGGCAGAGACUGGCAAACUGGCAAGGGAGUGCCUCUCAACAAUGGGCCACCAUGGUUCCAUCCAGCCACCAGUGACACAAGGGAAUCGGAGAACAAUGUUGUUAAAUUUUCCAGUGUAUCACAAGAAGCUAGACAACUGAGGUUUUUCCUCAAAUCUAUUUUCUAAAUAAUUCAGUAUUUAAAAAACAUAUCAGCUAAAUAAAACUGGUCUGGAAACCACCAGUUUUCAACCUCUAUUUGGGAUAACCUUGGUUUACCUGAUCCUUUCUUCCUCUAAGGUCUGAGCCCCUUAAAUGCAGGAACUCUGUCCCUUCAAUGGCUCUCCAGUGCCUGGAACUAACCAGAUGCUUAAGAAAUGUUGAAUGAACUAACAGAGGAGUCAAGAGGCCAGCCAUAAAGGGUCUUAGGUCAACAAAACACCCAAAACCCUAAAUCUGAGAAAUUCCAAAACUUACAAGCUGUUUGAUCCUGGACAAGUCAUUCCCCCUUCUGGAAACUCUUUCCUCUCUUGGGACAAGGAUGAUGCAGGCCCUGAUGCGCCUUGCCUACCACACAUGGCUGCUGGAGGAUUCAAUAACAUAAGGUGUUCUCUGUAUUAAUUCAGCCAUUAUUGCUGGUUAUUAACAGCAGUG